ensembl:lncRNA
UGAAGCAUAAAUUACUCUAGCUUAUGGACUGCUGAUAGUACUUCAGCAUGAUCGGUUUUCCUUAGAUGUCAAUACUUUUGUGUUAUAUCCAUUCUACUUGACUGUUGACUGAGAGCUAUUCACCAACAAAUGCAACAUGGGAGUUUCCAAUCUGAACACCUGUAUAAACUAUAUUCUAAAAUGGAUGCUGAAUGUCUUUAAGCCCUGAAAAUGUCAAAUGUGAUCACAUUUUACUUGUUUGACCAAGGUAAUGAGAUUUCCUGAAUAUAAAACAGGCUUUGAGGUUAUGGAGGCUGUGAUGCAUUUACUUUGAAAGACUUGUAUGUGGUAUGGUCUAAAGAGCCCCUUGUUUGCAGUAGCAGUAUAUAAUCUGUCUUAAUUACUGUCAGCACUUCUUUUGUAGAUGUGCAUGGAGAAGCUGUGAUUUAUCAUCUGGGUCUACUGCUGGAUAAUCAAAAUUCAGAAAUAACUAGAAAGACUGGAUCCUCCAUUUGGCAUAAGGGAUUUCCCCUCUGCUCAUGACCUACCUCACUAAAAGCAGAAAAAUAGUGUGGACCACUGCAACGUAUCUCCAAAUGAAGCUUUUUGCUCAAUAGCUUUAUAUAACUGGAGGUCACUAGUGCAGCUAGCGGAAGAAGCUGCUGCUUAAAUGAAAUCAUGAAGAGAAGUUCUGUGAUGCAGAGCCACUGAACUCUUUUUUACUAAAAGUUUUCAAAUCAGAACAUGAGAAAAUUCUGAGAAAUGGAAAGGAGAUUUAACUUUUCACUUUAAGUUUACUUGCUGUUACAAAAUCAUUUUCAUUUCUAUUUUUUAAUUUUCAAGAAGCUUUUCCAUAGGGGAUGGAAUACAGAAUGAAUAACCCUACAGGUUAUCAGGGCAGCACAGCGCAGGCGUGGGGCUCCUGUUGGCAGAGCCACCACUUGUUUCCUUCCUACCACAGAACCCGAUUGAUCUGACUUUGACGGAUCCCUGCGGAUUGAUUCUCUUUGCUGCCAGAGCGCGUUUCUCCUCUGCUUUCCUCCCAGCAGUUCUGACUCAACAAGUUUCUGCAGCCGUAGAGAGUCAGGCUCAAUAUUUUCCUGUAUGAUUAGAAUUUUUUUCCAGUUUCUGUACUCCUGGAGAAUUGCAGAAAGCUGAUCCCUGUACUUUCUGCAUUAACCUGAUGUAGUUCUGUUUCUGAAGGAGCAUGGAGUGGCCUCUCUGGAGGAGCCAUACAGACACUCUUUAG